GCCUACUUAAGCCUGUCUCUCUGCUUUCUGAGGAGGUAUUAGAGUCCGUAGAGUGGAGAGGAAAAAGAAGACAGGAAGUGCCAGGCUAGUAGUGAAAAUGCUCUGGGAGGAAAACAGGCCCCUAGGCUUUGCACAAGCAGGACUCAGCCCCUCAUGGGAACUAAGUGCCAUCUUUGAGUUUAAGAACAUUUGGACAAUUUGCAAAUGACCUUUGCUCCUUGCUCCUCUCACCUUUUAUCAGGCCCUACUUAGCACUGAGAGCAAAUGCGGUGAAAAGGUAAAGAAGUUUGGCUCCUGCCCACUGAUAGUCCUUCUCCCUGCAGUGUUUGUGUGUCAAGUGGCAAAGCUGUUCUUCCUGGUGACUCUGAUUAUAUCUAGUAACUUAGAGAUUGUAUGCAUUGGUCUGCUUUGACUCUUCUAUUCUGGGCUUUUGAUUUGUUUUUCAGUUUUGCUUUUAGUUUUCCUGUUUUUAUUUUAUGCACCAACUAGACACACAAAGCAGUUGAAUUUAUAUAUAUAUAUAUAUAUAUAUAUCUGUAUAUUGCACAAUUAUAAACUCAUUUUGCUUGUGGCGCCACACACACAAAAAAACCUUUAAAAUUAUACCUGUUGCUUAAUUACGAUAUUUCUGAUAACCAUAGAGUAGGACAAGGGAAAAAUUUUAAAAAG
rnacentral:lncRNA from 1 species